UCUAUUCUUAUUGAAACCCUUUUAUUAUCUUCUGACACUCUAUUCCUCCCUAUCGUCCUUUCCCAUCUCUAUCUUCUUCUCCCUUCUGAUGCAAAUUUAUUCUUCUCCAUGGUAGACGCGUUUUCGAAUAUGACUUUUUGUUGUUGUUCUUUCAAGAAUUAUGGAACGGGGGAUUCGAUUUGCUGUGGUUGAAACCAAUCUUCUCAAUGUUGUUCAAUGUUGAUGAUUUAGGAUUUUAGGGUUUAUAUGCUUUGUUGAUUGGGGGUUUUCUUACGGUGAUGGUUGAUGAUAAAUAAAUUUGGAUUAUAGCAGCAACUAUCUAUUUGUAGUAUUCUUAAAUGGUUAUUACACGUAAAUCAAUUUACCGGGUUAUUCUUCUCCAUGGUAGAUGCGUUUUUGAAUCUUACUUUUUGUUGUUGUUCUUUCAUGAACUAUGGAACGGGGGAUUCGAAAUUAUUGGGUUGUUUAAUUUUUAUGUGACAUGCAAAAAAUGUUUGUGUUAUAUUUUGACCGUGUUGUUGUUGUUGGGGUGUUUUUGUUUACAGAAACAAGCUGUGAAGAAGGAUGUGUAUCAGGUGUUUGCUGAGAAGGUGAAAGACCAUAAGGAGUUGGUUUCGAGAUGGGCUGUUCUACAAGAGACACGGGUUGAGUAUUUCAGAGGGAAGGAUUUUGUUAUGGAUGAUUUAUGGGUGUUGGUUGCAUUAGACGAUGAUUAUUAUCCUGAAAGAGGUUCGGUUUCAAAAAGUAAACGGGGUUGCAGAAUGAUGUUUUUUCAAACUUAAGGCUGGAAUAAAAGUGGGUUUCUUGUCAUUUUCAUUAGUUUAUUUCAUAAUAAAGGUACAAACGACCAGUCUUAAUGAUUAUGCUCCAAAUUUUCAGUUUACAAUUUUCUGAAAAUACUUUAGUCAUUAUUGUGCUUGCGACUCAAAAUUGGUGUAACCAUUACCAUUAAGUAAGCAGCAGAGUUAAUACUUGACAAAUUUCCAAAGUCGUCAAAUUCUAAUGUUAAAUGUCAAUGGAAGUGGUAUGCAAGGUUCUUCCAUACAAUAUUUAUUUUGCGAUACACUAUUUAGCAUAACUCUUUAGUGCAAAGUGUUGUUGCUAUGGUUUUUACGUACACUUACAUCGAUUCGUGUAUAAGACAAAUUGGUUGAGAUAACUGGUAAAAAUCCCCUGAGGUAAGUGUUAGAGUGAGACUGUUAGGCUAAUUUAAUCCAUGAAUUUUCAAUAAUUUUGCAAGCGAAAUUGCAGAUUCUAGGCAAUUAUGUUGAUAUUUUAAUGUAUAGAUAUAUACUUUUUCUGCUGCUAAUAUCAUCAGCUUUAUCACAAUACAUGUUUUAUGCUCAUGAUUUUGGUUUUCACUGAACUGAGAUUGCAAAGGGUGUCAAACCUCUCUGAAAGUAAACAUCAAAGGAUGUUUAUCAACUCGCUCGGGUCCUCAUCGAGUAUGAUCAGGAGAAGUACAGUUCGGUUAAAAGAAAUAUGGAACCAUCACUAAUCUUUUGUAUAUUGGCAUACCUUUUGAAAUAAUUUAAUUAGCUCUUGGUCUAAAUAUUUGGGAACUGGCUAAAGCAGUGUUUUUGGAAGAUCUUAAUGAACAUAUGGUGAGUCACUACUGUUGUUGCAGGAUUCCAGGGACUUUGAAGUUGUUGUUAUCAUGGAGAUUGAUGUUGAAUGCCUGAGCUAAUUGACUAUUCAUGCUGCAGCAAUUUUCCAAUUCAGCCAAUAAUCAGAUAAGGUAUUUUACAUGUAGCAAACCAAUGUCGGGUUCACUAGGUCAUGAGUUUCAAGAAGCCAAAACUUUUGCAUCAUAGAUAGCAACUGUCAAACAUGUAAAACCUGGAGCGCAUUUUGACGUCUCGACUUUUUAAUGUAAAAUAGUUGAAGGAUUGUGAUUGACUAUGAGUUGCAUCCAGUGGUGAUAAAUAAACAUGACUGCACCUAUUCGUUGCGGCUUUCUAUCC